UUUCUCAUAUACGCUAGAUCCUCCUGCCGCCGCCGCCACCACCAUGAAUCACUGCCACUACAUCGAUUUCUCUUUGCCUCUCCAUCGUCGUUCAAUCCAGCCCAUCAUAUUCUAUAUCGGCAAAUUAUUUUGAGAAACCAGUAGGCUGUAAUAGUUCUUCAUCGCAUGAGAGGAGAAUAGAGGCAACCCCAUUACCCUCAAAGUGUUCGGCAAAGUGCUAAGAAUGAUGAAAAGAACUGAGAAGGAAAAAGGACUUUGUUUAGGAGACACUUGAAAUAGGAAAGAAGCCUAAAGGUUGCUUCUAAUGUUGCUGCACUUGGAUGA